CGCAUCUGUGCAUGCAGCAUAUCAAUAAGCGGAGGAAAAGAAACUAACAAGGAUUCCCUUAGUAACGGCGAGUGAAGCGGGAAGAGCUCAAAUUUGAAAUCUUCAAGGUUUUACCUUGACGAAUUGUAGUUUAAAGAAGUGUUUUCUGUUGAAGUUUUGGUAAAAGUUCUUUGGAAUAGGACAUCAUAGAGGGUGAGAAUCCCGUAUUUGACCAUUAUUUUCAGCUGUGUGAUACACUUUCAAAGAGUCGGAUUGUUUGGGAAUGCAGUCCAAAAUGGGUGGUAAAUUUCAUCUAAAGCUAAAUAUUGGCGAGAGACCGAUAGCGAACAAGUACCGUGAGGGAAAGAUGAAAAGAACUUUGAAAAGAGAGUUAAACAGUACGUGAAAUUGUCAAAAGGGAAGCGUUUGACACCAGUGUUGUUUUCUCGAAAAUCAAUUAAAAAGAGUUAGAUUUUGUUGUGUAUUGACCUUAACAGCUUGCAUUUCAAUUUUCUUGCUUUUUUUAAUGCACUUUUCGUUUAACAAGUCAACAUCAGUUUCUUUUGUUGUAAAAAGGUCAGUUGGAAGGUGGCUUUCUUUUCGGAGAAAGUGUUUAUAGCCUUUGACUCCUGCAAUCGGAGAGACUGAGGUCUGCAGCGUAGAUCCUUCGGGGUUAGAUACAUUUGUGCUAAGUUAUAGCUUUUUAUAGACAACUUGUUGACUAUGAUUAGUCUUGUAGCUUACUCGCUUAUGCUAUUUUACCUACGCUUAGGAUGUUGACACACGCGCGUGCUCG
rnacentral:rRNA from 1 species